UAGGGAAGGCAGCAGUGGGGAAUAUUGCACAAUGGGCGCAAGCCUGAUGCAGCCAUGCCGCGUGUAUGAAGAAGGCCUUCGGGUUGUAAAGUACUUUCAGUCGUGAGGAAGGUGUUAAGGUUAAUAACCUUAGCAAUUGACGUUAGCGACAGAAGAAGCACCGGCUAACUCCGUGCCAGCAGCCGCGGUAAUACGGAGGGUGCGAGCGUUAAUCGGAAUUACUGGGCGUAAAGGGCACGCAGGCGGUUAAUUAAGUUGGAUGUGAAAUCCCCGGGCUUAACCUGGGAAUGGCAUUCAAGACUGGUUAGCUAGAGUCUUGUAGAGGGGGUAGAAUUCCAUGUGUAGCGGUGAAAUGCGUAGAGAUGUGGAGGAAUACCGGUGGCGAAGGCGGCCCCUGGGACAAAGGACUGACGCUCAUGUGCGAAAGCGUGGGGAGCAAACAGGGAUUAGAUACC
rnacentral:rRNA from 1 species